CAGAAGUAGAGAACUCUGCAACUUUUUUUCCAGAUCUGUGAGGAACAGGUGGUUUCUCUUCUGUAUCGUUUGCAAGAGUUAGAACGUUACGUUUGGCUAAAAGGCCCUCAGUAGACUGCCACAAGUGAGGAGGAUUUGAACCUCAUCAUAACAAACAUGUCCAGCAUCUCACAGCUAUCAUCAUCAACAGCUCAAUCCCCUUCUUCUCAUCUUUCAGAAAAAAGGGAAGUACCAUCUGCUCAAUGAGAACAGAUCAGGUCUCAGGGUACGGAAGAUUCCACCCGCUCCCCCAACCGUUUCAUCAGACAGUAACACAGUAAUUGAAUAAGAGCGAUGGGCACUUCUGAACUGCUACUAGUGCCUCGUUUCAAGCUUUAUCUCCCAGUUGGUGACUCAUGCUUCCAUAUGGAGAUGUACAACCACCGGGCAUAAACUGCACAUCGAGCUCAAGCUGCAACAUCCUACAGAAGUGCUGUGAGAGUUUGAUAAGAAUUAAUAUAGCACUAAAUUGAAAGAGGUCUUGCCUAUGCCUCUGAAGAAUUUGAAUGAUACAAUACAUAUUGCAAAAGGAACCCUUGUUUCUCUCAUUCCAGUCAUAACAGAAAAGCACCUGAAAAUGAUUUCAGUGAUUCCAUCAGUUCACAGAAUCACAGGGUUUGGAAUGGACCUCAAGAGAUCAUCAAGUUCAACUGCUGUUAAAGCAGGUGCCCUACAACAGGUCACACAGGUGAAAGCUGCAGGCAGCCUAGCUAAAGACUGUGCUAUCAAUCUAAAGAUUUUACUUAUCCCUAGCUAAAGACGGUGCUAUCAGAUCCAACCUAAAGAUUUUACUUAUGCCUGAAAAGCAAACAGAAGAGUACUGUGCAACAAAACCAUUGUGACUGAACAUUAACAAUACUAAUGUCUUCAAAAUGGAGCAUAAUAAAUAAUAAUUUAAGAUACCGGCUCAGAAGUAACUGUUGCACAAUACACAAACUAUGGCUCUCAAUAUUUUAAGCUCAAUAGUUUUGGAGAAUGGAGAAGGGCUACUAAAAACGUUGGCUUACUGCUGAAACUGUACAAAUCUUUAGGGUCAGAAAGCAGGGAACACACCAAAUCUACUGGUAAGGUUCUACAUAGACCUUUAUGGCCCUUUAGGAAAGAGAAGAAUUUUAGGAAUCUUUAUAAUCCUGCUGGGUCUGUAAAAACAGCAACAAAGAGGUCAAAGGAUCUCAGUGGAUGGUUAGGCUGCAAAGCAUGCGCACAGUGCAAUACUUUGACAUCCAUUUCAGCAAGGCACACGCUGUUGAAAUGACUGUGGACAACAGACAGUAACAAGGCAGCUGAAGACCAUUCAUGACAGCAGCAUGAGUAAAGUAUUAUAAAUAUUGCUUCAGUUUGCAGAAAGUCAUAACACACGCACAGUGGCCCAGUCCCAGUAUUAGACAUCCAGACCUCAGAUGCUUGAAAAAUGACAGCAGCUUUCUUGACUAUUUUACUAAUAAGAUUCCAAAACAUGAAAUUUAAAGAAAGUCCAAAUGCUUCAAGUACAAGUAGUUACAACUUGAAGCUAUUUAUUGGAGGGAAGAAGCUGAGCAACCCCUAGUGGUACCAGAAAAAAUAAAUUCUGAAAAAACAGCAAAACUCUGUAUAGGAUCAAAGCAUUUUCAAAAAUACACAAAUUUGAAGACACAUUAAUUUGUAAAUUCCUAUAUUACAUUCUGUAUCUAAAGCUGAUUACAGCAUAUAAGAAUGAACAUUAAUCAACAACUCUUCUAGUAUAAACCAUAUCAUCUGCCUCUUCAGUCUUUCUGAAGUCCACUCCAGUUGAGUGAACUUUUCUCUAUUAGCCAUCAGCUUCUCAUGAACACAAAUUGGAACAAAGUGGGUACAAUAUGCUUGGAAAUCAAGAUCAGAGAAGUCCAAAUAUAUGAGCUACAUUCAGUUCUUCAGAAGUUUUCCAUGCAGAUUUAUGAAAAGGAAAAGCCCUUGCUCUGUUGCUACUAAAGAUCCCACACCUCCAGCCAUUACCAAUGUAAAAAUGAUGGCUCCUCGUUAUGUUAAGGUGAUUUCAGGUUCACAAGCCCAUACACCAGUAGAGAAUCUUAUAGAAAUGUGAGUGAUAUCAAAAUUAUGUACUUGUGAUUGAUGUAAUAUUAAAUAAAAUACUUCCAAAAUCAAUGACAACAUUGGCUGACCUAAAAUCACACUUAAAAAGCACAGUUGAAAGACGUUAUUUUGGACCUUAUUUCUUCUUGAUUUUCUCUGUGUUUCUAGGGGGCUUUUGAAAUUGAUUUGCAUACUAGAAGUUAACUUAGGCACAAAGUUAAGGAAUAUUUUGGGCUUUUUACUGAAGCACCUGCAUCUGUACCAAAGAUGACAAUAAUAGACAAAGAAUCUCAAGUGACAUUAAGUGAAUGCACACUUAUCACUGAGAAAGAAAAAAUUAACUCAACCUUUGAUCUACCACAGUUGUAUUGCUAUAGCACUGUAGCAACCAGAAUAGCAGAAACUCACGUGUGUUAGUGGAAGCUGCCAAUUUGAGCUUGGAGCCAGCAGAGGACCCUGUACAGACUAAUGCCUGGCUACUCCAGAGCCAGGAAUUCUGACAUACAAAACUUAGGUUCUUAAAAGAAGUCAGUAUGGCUGAUGUCUUUGAGGUAUUUAUGAAAAAAUCCUUACAAACAGUUUUGAAGAUUUCUGAAUUCUUACUGAAAAUGUGCUUACACUAAUUAUAAAUUAUCUACUGGUACAGCAUAGUACAGAGCGCUCUAAUUGUUAAGGUGUGCUUAACAUCUCGCGUUUUAUUCCAUUCAAGAAUCUUUCUCUUACAUUUAAAAAGCAUUCUAUAAUGAAUCAGAUGAAAAUAUCGUACCUCCAGGUUGCUGAGAUGCUGUUUUUCAAGCAGCUGCUGCAUUUCUUUCAGAUUUUUCUGGAAUAGAAGUCUGUUAUUAUCCACACUUGUUCUGCUGCUCUCCUGCAUUGUUUUGUCCAAGCCAACCAUUGCUGAAAUCUGCUCCUGAUGCGAAUAACCAUUCCUCGAUGCUGAUGAGUAUGAAGUGUCAUCUGUGGUUCUUGAUGCAAGUGAAAAGCUUAUUACUUUGGCUUCUUUCUAUGUGCCAACUAUUCACUUUCAAAGAUGUUCCUUUCCAAAAGUACACAUCAUCAAUAAACGCCUGGCAUGUGAAGGACAGCAGAACUACAUGUAA